AGCAGCCGCGGUAAUUCCAGCUCCAAUAGCGUAUAUUAAAGUUGUUGCAGUUAAAAAGCUCGUAGUUGAAUUUCAGGCCUGGCUGGACGGUCCGCCCUUCGGGUGAGUACUGUCUGUGGUCGGGUCCUACCUUCUGGCGAAGCGUCAUGGCCUUAACCGGCCGUGGCGGGGAACCAGGACUUUUACUGUGAAAAAAUUAGAGUGUUCAAAGCAGGCAAUCGCUUGGAUACAUUAGCAUGGAAUAAUGGAAUAGGACAAUGGUUCUAUUUGUUGGUUUCUAGGACCGUUGUAAUGAUUAAUAGGGAGUAUUGGGGGGCAUUAGUAUUCAAUUGUCAGAGGUGAAAUUCUUGGAUUAUUGAAGACUAACUACUGCGAAAGCAUUUUGUCCAAGGAUGUUUUCAUUAAUCAAGAACGAAAGUUAGGGGAUCGAAGACGAUCAGAUACCGUCCGUAGUCUUAACCAUAAACUAAUGCCGACUAGGAAUCGGGCGAUGUUGAAAAAAUGACGCGCUCGGCACCUCAU
rnacentral:rRNA from 1 species